rnacentral:misc_RNA from 1 species
GAUGAAGAACGCAGCGAAAUGCGAUACUUGGUGUGAAUUGCAGAAUCCCGUGAACCAUCGAGUCUUUGAACGCAAGUUGCGCCCGAAGCCAUCAGGUUGAGGGCACGUCUGCCUGGGCGUCACAUAUCGUUGCCCAAUGCCUAUUGCAGUGCAAUAGGAAUUUCUAGGGCGAAUGAUGGCUUCCCGUGAGCGUUGUUGCCUCGCGGUUGGUUGAAAAUCGAGUCCUUGGUAGGGUGUGCCCUGGUAGAUGGUGGUCGAGUUAGAACGAUACCGAUCAUGUGCAUGCUCCCCAAAAUAUGGCCUCUAUGACCCACACGCGUCUUUUGACGCUCAUGACGAGACCUCAGGUCAGGCGGGGCUACCCGCUGAAUUUAAGCAUAUCAAUAAGCGGAGGA